rnacentral:rRNA from 1 species
CCUACGGGCGGCUGCAGUGGGGAAUAUUGGACAAUGGGGGCAACCCUGAUCCAGCCAUGCCGCGUGUGUGAAGAAGGCCCUCGGGUUGCAAAGCACUUUCAGUGAGGAAGAACGCCUGGUGGUUAAUACCCAUCAGGAAAGACAUCACUCACAGAAGAAGCACCGGCUAACUCCGUGCCAGCAGCCGCGGUAAUACGGAGGGUGCGAGCGUUAAUCGGAAUUACUGGGCGUAAAGCGCGCGUAGGUGGCUUGAUAAGCCGGUUGUGAAAGCCCCGGGCUCAACCUGGGAACGGCAUCCGGAACUGUCAAGCUAGAGUGCAGGAGAGGAAGGUAGAAUUCCCGGUGUAGCGGUGAAAUGCGUAGAGAUCGGGAGGAAUACCAGUGGCGAAGGCGGCCUUCUGGACUGACACUGACACUGAGGUGCGAAAGCGUGGGUAGCAAACAGGAUUAGAUACCCCUGUAGUC